AUGCUCCCUUCGGCAGCACACGUACUAAAAUUGGAAAGAUACAGAGAUCAGCAUGGCCCCUGUGCAAGGAUGACAUGCCAAUUCCUGAAGUAUUCCAUGUCUUU